UGUGUAGCUCAGCUGGAUAGAGCGUCUGGCUACGGACCAGAAGGUCGAGGGUUCGAAUCCUUUCAC
rnacentral:tRNA from 1 species